AGAAUGAACGCUGGCGGCGUGUUUAAGACAUGCAAGUCGCACGGGAAUAUUCUGGUAUUUAUAUUAGGAUGUUUCAGUGGCGCACGGGUGAGUAACAUGUGAAUCACAUGCCCUUCAGUGGGGAAUAGCCCAGGGAAACUUGGAUUAAUACCCCAUGGUAUCGCAGGAUUAAAGGUGGCCGGCAACGGGCUGCCGCUGAAGGAUUGGUUCGCACCCUAUCAGCUUGUGUGAGGUAACGGCUCACCAAGGCGUACGAGUGGGUACCUGGUCUGAGAGGACGAUCAGGCACACUGGAACUGAGACGACGGUCCAGACACCGUACGGGUGGCAGCAGUCGAGAAUAAUUCAC
rnacentral:rRNA from 1 species